rnacentral:rRNA from 1 species
UACGGGGGGGGCAAGCGUUGUUCGGAUUCAUUGGGCGUAAAGGGUGCGUAGGCGGCGCGGUAAGUCGGGUGUGAAAUCUCGGAGCUUAACUCCGAAACUGCAUUCGAUACUGCCGUGCUUGAGGACUGGAGAGGAGACUGGAAUUUACGGUGUAGCGGUGAAAUGCGUAGAUAUCGUAAGGAAGACCAGUGGCGAAGGCGGGUCUCUGGACAGUUCCUGACGCUGAUACGCGACAGCAUGGGGAGCGAACGGG